GACGAACGCUGGCGGCGUGCCUAAUACAUGCAAGUCGAACGCAGUGGGGACGGGUGAGUAACACGUGGCUAACCUCCCAUCAGAGGGGAUAACAAUUGGAAACUGGUGCUAAACCGAUACUGAUGGAUGGAUCCGCGGUGCAUUAGCUAGUUGGUGAGGUAACGGCCAACCAAGGCCACGAUGCAUAGCGGGCCUGAGAGGGGGAUCGGCCACAAUGGAACUGAGACACGGCCCAGACUCCUACGGGAGGCAGAAGUGGGGAAUAUUGGGCAAUGGACGAAAGUCUGACGAAGCAACGCCGCGUGAAUGAAGAAGGUUUUCGGGUCGUAAAACUCUGUUGUUGGAGAGGCGGUAUCUAAACAGAAAGCCACGGCUAACUACGUGCCAGCAGCCGCGGUAAUUC
rnacentral:rRNA from 1 species